rnacentral:rRNA from 1 species
AGUACAGUGGCGUACGGGUGAGUAACACGUGGGUAAUCUACCCUUUAGUGGGGAAUAACGCUGGGAAACCGGCGCUAAUACCGCAUAAGCUCGGGAGAGGAAAGCAGCAAUGCGCUGAAGGAGGAGCCCGCGGCCGAUUAGCUGGUUGGUAGGGUAAGAGCCUACCAAGGCAAAGAUCGGUAGCCGGCCUGAGAGGGCACACGGCCACACUGGCACUGAAACACGGGCCAGACUCCUACGGGAGGCAGCAGUGGGGAAUAUUGGACAAUGGGCGAAAGCCUGAUCCAGCAAUGCCGCGUGAGUGAGGAAGGCCUUAGGGUUGUAAAGCUCUUUCGGCGGGGACGAUGAUGACGGUACCCGCAGAAGAAGCCCCGGCUAACUACGUGCCAGCAGCCGCGG